AAAUGUGAAAAAAUGUCAUAGUAUAGUAAGACAUGAAAAAAUGUCAUAGUAUAGUAAGGCGUCAAAAAAUGUGAAAAAAUGUCAUAGUAUAGUAAGGCGUCAAAAAAUGUGAAAAAAUGUCAUAGUAUAGUAAGACAUGAAAAAAUGUGAAAAAAUGUCAUAGUAUAGUAAGACAUGAAAAAAUGUGAAAAAAUGUCAUAGUAUAGUAAGACAUGAAAAAAUGUGAAAAAAUGUCAUAGUAUAGUAAGGUGUCGAAAAAUGUGAAAAAAUGUCAUAGUAUAGUAAGACAUGAAAAAAUGUCAUAGUAUAGUAAGACAUGAAAAAAUGUGAAAAAAUGUCAUAGUAUAGUAAGACGUGAAAAAAUGUCAUAGUAUAGUAAGACAUGAAAAAACGUGAAAAAAUGUCAUUGUAUAGUAAGACAUGAAAAAACGUGAAAAAAUGUCAUAGUAUAGUAAGGUGUCGAAAAAUGUGAAAAAAUGUCAUAGUAUAGUAAGACAUGAAAAAAUGUCAUAGUAUAGUAAGACAUGAAAAAAUGUGAAAAAAUGUCAUAGUAUAGUAAGGUGUCGAAAAAUGUGAAAAAAUGUCAUAGUAUAGUAAGGUGUCGAAAAAUGUGAAAAAAUGUCAUAGUAUAGUAAGACAUGAAAAAACGUGAAAAAAUGUCAUAGUAUAGUAAGACAUGAAAAAACGUGAAAAAAUGUCAUAGUAUAGUAAGGUGUCGAAAAAUGUGAAAAAAUGUCAUAGUAUAGUAAGACAUGAAAAAAUGUGAAAAAAUGUCAUUGUAUAGUAAUGUGAAAAA